rnacentral:tRNA from 1 species
UCCUUCUUAGCUCAGUUGGAUAGAGCGCGUCACUAGUAAUGACGAGGUCAGUCGUUCAAAUCGGCUAGAAGGAA